rnacentral:rRNA from 1 species
UACGUAGGCAGCGAGCGUUGUUCGGAGUUACUGGGCGUAAAGGGUGCGUAGGCGGUCCUAUAAGUAUGGUGUGAAAUCUCCCGGCUUAACUGGGAGGGUGCGCUAUAGACUGUGGGACUAGAGUGUGGGAGAGGAAAGUGGAAUUCCUGGUGUAGCGGUGAAAUGCGUAGAUAUCAGGAGGAACACCGGUGGUGUAAACGGCUUUCUGGACCAUAACUGACGCUGAGGCACGAAAGCGUGGGUAGCAAACAGG